GACGAACGCUGGCGGCGUGCUUAACACAUGCAAGUCGAACGGAAAGGCCCCUUUGGGGGUCCUCGAGUGGCGAACGGGUGCGUAACACGUGAGUAACCUGCCCUUGACUUCGGGAUAACUUCAGGAAACUGGGGCUAAUACCGGAUAGGAAUCCUUGCUGCAUGGUGGGGGUUGGAAAGCUUCGGCGGUUUUGGAUGGACUCGCGGCUUAUCAGCUUGUUGGUGGGGUAGUGGCUUACCAAGGCUUUGACGGGUAGCCGGCCUGAGAGGGCGACCGGCCACAUUGGGACUGAGAUACGGCCCAGACUCCUACGGGAGGCAGCAGUGGGGAAUAUUGCACAAUGGGCGGAAGCCUGAUGCAGCAACGCCGCGUGCGGGAUGACGGCCUUCGGGUUGUAAACCGCUUUCAGCAGGGGCGAAGCUUGUGGUGACGGUACCUGCAGAAGAAGCACCGGCUAACUACGUG
rnacentral:rRNA from 1 species